rnacentral:rRNA from 1 species
AUUGAACGCUGGCGGCAUGCCUUACACAUGCAAGUCGAACGGCAGCACGGGGCAACCUGGUGGCGAGUGGCGAACGGGUGAGUAAUGCAUCGGAACGUACCUUUCAGUGGGGGAUAACGUAGCGAAAGUUACGCUAAUACCGCAUAUUCUGUGACCAGGAAAGCAGGGGAUCGCAAGACCUUGCGCUGAUUGAGCGGCCGAUGUCAGAUUAGCUAGUUGGUGAGGUAAAGGCUCACCAAGGCGACGAUCUGUAGCGGGUCUGAGAGGAUGAUCCAGCACACUGGAGCGGAGACAAGGUCCAGACUCCAACGGGAGGCAGCAGUGGGGAAUUUUGGACAAUGGGGGCAACCCUGAUCCAGCCAGGCCGCGUGAGUGAAGAAGGCCUUCGGGUUGUAAAGCUCUUUCGGCCGGGAAGAAAUCGCACGGGCUAAUACCCUGUGUGGAUGACGGUACCGGAAUAAGAAGCACCGGCUAACUACGUGCCAGCCGCCGCCGUAAGAC